CUGACGACCGGCGCACGGGUGCGUAACGCGUAUGAAACCUGCCCUGUUCUGGAGGAUAGCCCGGAGAAAUUCGGAUUAAUACUGCGUAACAUAUUUUAAGGCAUCUUAAGAUAUUAAAAGCUUCGGCGGAACAGGAUGGUCAUGCGUGACAUUAGCUAGUUGGUAAGGUAACGGCUUACCAAGGCAACGAUGUCUAGGGGUUCUGAGAGGAUCGUCCCCCACACUGGUACUGAGACACGGACCAGACUCC
rnacentral:rRNA from 1 species